UUGGGACUUUGUGAAGAAAAAGUGGGGAAAAGUUUUGUGCUUUCUUUCCUUUUCCUUGAUGUCUGACCAAGGAAGGAAAAGAGAGAAGCAAGGAGGAGGGAAAAAAAGAUGAUGAUGAGAAUGGAAAAGCAAAACUAGCAAGCUUCAAGGAAUGAAUCUAAUUUUUGCUAAAAUGUUUGAAGAGAGAGAAACAGAGAUCCACAGGGGGAAAACAGAGGGGGAGGUGAAUGGUGGUGGGUUUUGAUUGGAUGUAAUGGUGUUUGUGGAUACUGCAACUUGAAAAGUUC
rnacentral:lncRNA from 1 species